rnacentral:misc_RNA from 1 species
AAAGUCGUAACAAGGUCUCCGUUGGUGAACCAGCGGAGGGAUCAUUACCGAGUCCCCGACGCUCAGACCCGACCGCGAACCCGAACCCGUUGCUUCGGCGGGCUCCCACUCGGAGCCCGCCGGAGGUACGCCCGUCUAGGGCUCCUAGAGACUCCGAGUCGUCGUCUGAAUUAGCUUCCGCGAACUAGUCAAAACUUUCAACAACGGAUCUCUUGGUUCCG